rfam:Strigamia maritima strain Brora ctg7180001234244, whole genome shotgun sequence.
CCCCAGGUAGCUUAAUGGUAAAGCAUCCAACCGGCAAUUGGGGGAUCUGGGUUCAAGUCCCGGUCCGGGCU